AGUUAAUCCAAUCAUCUCCGAUUAGCGGAGAAUUCUAAGGAGGGAAAGACUACAUUUCCCAGCAGCCAAGUCGCUGUCGUAGGGUGAAGGAGUAUUGGUGGCAAGAAGAGGAUCGGACUGGUGGUUCCCGGCCCGGUGCAAAGAGUAACAGUUUGGUCUGUGAAGGGGGGAAAAAGGGCGCGCGAAGGAAAUGGCGGUUGAUAAAGAGCUGCUGGAGUUGGACUUGUACGCACUUCUGGGAGUCGGCGAGAAGGCGGCGGAUAAAGAGAUUAAGAAAGCCUACAGACAGAAGGCUCUGACUUGCCAUCCAGAUAAAAAUCCAGAUAAUCCAAAAGCAGCUGAACUCUUCCAUCAGUUGUCUCAGGCAUUGGCGGUUCUAACAGAUGCAGCAGCAAGGGCAGCAUAUGAUAAAGUGAGGAAAGCCAAAAAACAAGCAGCAGAAAGGACACAGAAACUUGAUGAAAGGAGGAAAAAAGUCAAGCUUGAUCUUGAAGCCCGAGAAAAAGAAGCCCAGUCCCGGGUUAGCAAGGAGGAAGAGAUCCAAAUAACUAGGACAUUAGAGCAAGAGAUCCUAAGAUUACGUGAAGAGGGAUCCCGGCAGUUGGAAGAGCAACAAAGACUCAUUCAGGAACAAAUCCGGCUUGAGAAAGAACAGCGAGUACAUGGCAAACAAGAUGGGUAUGGACAGGAGGGCAAAGGAACACCCAAGCUCAAACUACGGUGGAAAUGCAAGAAAGAAGAUGACACCAAGGGAGGCUACUCGAGAGAAGUUCUCUUGCAAAUGCUACAGAAGUAUGGCGAGGUUCUCAAUUUGCUGAUUUCGAGCAGGAAGCCUGGGAGUGCGGUUGCAGAAUUUGCCACAGUGAAAGCUGCUGAGAUGGCAGUGAAGCAUGAAGUUGGCCUGAUAAACAAUCCUCUAAAAAUUACCUGGCUAGAAGGCCAGCCACAGGGCAGCACGCUAUAUGCUGAUGGCACUAUCCAGCCACGAAUAUCCCAGGAUGAUGACUUGGUUGCCCAACUUCUUUUGCCUUCUGAAUGAGAGACGCUUGAAGAAACCAGAGGAUCUGAUGGAUCCUCUACGCCAGAUGUCCCCUCUGCGCCAAGUGUCCAUGGCAAGGAAAGCAGGAAAAGGCUGGUAGUUGGAAAUGGCACAGUGGAGGCCAGAGGCCUUGGCCACAAGCUGACACAGGUUCAGUUGUCUCUGAGAGGGAUUAUGAAAGCCUUGUCAUGAUGCGGAUGCGCCAAGCUGCUGAGAGACAGAAACUAAUUGAGCAGAUGAAACGGGAAGAUGAGGAGGAGACUUGCACGUAGUAGUAGUAGAAUUGGCAUGAUCUUGUGCUUUUACAUCUUAAAUUAAGUCAAUAAAUAUCCUUUCUAAUAA